ACUCAAAGGAAUUGACGGGGGCCCGCACAAGCAGUGGAGCGUGUGGUUUAAUUCGACGCAACGCGCAGAACCUUACCAGGGCAUGACAUCAUGUUGCCGUCUGUGGAAACACAGAUUUCCGUAGCAAUACGGACGGCAUGACAGGUGUUGCAUGGUUGUCGUCAGCUCGUGUCGUGAGAUGUUGGGUUAAGUCCCGCAACGAGCGCAACCCCUAUUCAGUGUUGCCAGCGGUACGGCCGGGGACUCACUGAAGACUGCCGGAGACGAUCCGGAGGAAGGUGGGGAUGACGUCAAAUCAUCAUGGCCCUUAAGCCCUGGGCUACACACGCGCUACAAUGGCCGGUACAACGGGCAGCGAAGGAGCGAUCUGGAGCGAAUCCCUUAAAAUCGGCCCCAGUUGGGAUCGCAGGCUGCAACUCGCCUGCGUGAACACGGAAUUGCUAGUAAUCGCGAAUCAGCUACGUCGCGGUGAAUACGUUCCCGGGCCUUGUACACACCGCCCGU
rnacentral:rRNA from 1 species